rnacentral:misc_RNA from 1 species
CUUUUCUAUCUUUAAGGUGAAUCAGAUAUUGCGGGAACUGAGUAGAGAAUGGCCUGGAAGUUCAUAUGACUUGCUAUCCAAGAACUGCAAUCACUUCUGUGAUGAAUUCUGUGAAAGGCUUGGUGUGCCAAAACUUCCAGGUUGGGUUAAUCGUUUUGCAAAUGCUGGUGAUGCAGCCUUGGAAGUUGCGGGAAAUACAGCAUUACGGUUUAGACAAGCCAAGGCAGAGAUUGUAUCAGCUAGCAAAGUGGCAUAUCGUUUCCUCGUAGGUGUCGCUUCCAAUAAUGGGCCUGCCCCUGAUUCACCUGGCAAUUCAAGUAGAGGAAGCCCUAGAUUUCAAGCAACUUGGUUUAAAAACGUAAUUACUUCUGGUGCUAAACCAUCUAGUAGCACAGAAGUAGACAAUCAGGAUGAAGAUAUGCAUCUUCGGCAGCAACUUGACCAAGUGUCAGAUAUACCAUCACGGCAGAAUUCACAACAAUGGCAGUCAGAUCUACCAGCACAUCAGAAUUCAAGGCAUGAUGUAUGAGGAAGCAUUUUGUUAAAGCAUUGUCAGCUGUAUCAGUUGAAACUUGCAAUAGACUAUCACAGCAAUUCAUUGUGUAUCACUGUAAAAUUUUCAUUGCUUUUCCAACUGAAUUUGCCGUAAUGGUGCCUAAUGGAUUCUAAGUACAUGGCAAAGGCUGUCAGUCAAUCUGUAAGGUUAUCCAUUUCACAGAGCCUGAAGCUUUACCCUGCGUCAUGGCAUUGGGCAAUUGUUAUUUUGUGUGUUUUUAUAAAAAUUAAAAAC